rnacentral:tRNA from 1 species
UCCCUGGUAGUCCAGUGGUUAAGAAUCCACCUUCCAAUGCUGGAGACACAGGUUCGAUUCCUGGUCAGGGAA